UAGGGAAUCUUCGGCAAUGGACGGAAGUCUGACCGAGCAACGCCGCGUGAGUGAAGAAGGUUUUCGGAUCGUAAAGCUCUGUUGUAAGAGAAGAACGAGUGUGAGAGUGGAAAGUUCACACUGUGACGGUAUCUUACCAGAAAGGGACGGCUAACUACGUGCCAGCAGCCGCGGUAAUACGUAGGUCCCGAGCGUUGUCCGGAUUUAUUGGGCGUAAAGCGAGCGCAGGCGGUUAGAUAAGUCUGAAGUUAAAGGCUGUGGCUUAACCAUAGUACGCUUUGGAAACUGUUUAACUUGAGUGCAAGAGGGGAGAGUGGAAUUCCAUGUGUAGCGGUGAAAUGCGUAGAUAUAUGGAGGAACACCGGUGGCGAAAGCGGCUCUCUGGUCUGUAACUGACGCUGAGGCUCGAAAGCGUGGGGAGCAAACAGGAUUAGAUACCCUGGUAGUCCACGCCGUAAACGAUGAGUGCUAGGUGUUAGACCCUUUCCGGGGUUUAGUGCCGUAGCUAACGCAUUAAGCACUCCGCCUGGGGAGUACGACCGCAAGGUUG
rnacentral:rRNA from 1 species